rnacentral:lncRNA from 1 species
CCCAUUUCACCUGUCCUAAACUAUUUUUCGAGCCUUUGGCUCGAGUAUUGCCCCACCUAUAUUAAAUACAACUUUGGCUUCGAGGACGAAAUAAAUAAAUAAAUAAAUGACUAAAUGAAUAAAUAAAAAGAAGACAAUAAUAAAAAUUGAGACUUUUCAAGUCUUUUAGUGACCUCAUCAAUGGGUUUUGACCCAUUUUCCUUCUUUGUCUAUCUUCUAGCACCCGCACGCCAUAUAGUGGACCUUGGGUUUAAACUUCAAACUUGACUUGAAGGGGUGAGCCUUAUUUACCCAUUACGAAAUGCAGGAAAAGAGGAGUCCAGUUAGACUCGAGAUAUUUUUUGCAUACAAAGAAAAGAUAAAGAAAUUAAUAUAUGUUCAAGGCAUAAAAGUGACAUAUUUCAAAGUAAAAUAAACUAUCAAGAACCAAUUUUUGAAUGACAAUGAUAAGCACACUUGCACAAGAAUGAGAGUCAACAAAUAAAAAAUGCAAACCAAAAGUUUCACAAUCAUACUAUGCAUGAGUCAAAAAUAUCUAAAUAAUUUUAUUUAGCCACAAAAGUUCGAACUUUCUUAUCAUUUUGAAAAGACAACAUGCGAACAAAGAAGAAUANNNNNNNNNNNNNNNNNNNNNNNNNNNNNNNNNNNNNNNNNNNNNNNNNNNNNNNNNNNNNNNNNNNNNNNNNNNNNNNNNNNNNNNNNNNNNNNNNNNNNNNNNNNNNNNNNNNNNNNNNNNNNNNNNNNNNNNNNNNNNNNNNNNNNNNNNNNNNNNNNNNNNNNNNNNNNNNNNNNNNNNNNNNNNNNNNNNNNNNNNNNNNNNNNNNNNNNNNNNNNNNNNNNNNNNNNNNNNNNNNNNNNNNNNNNNNNNNNNNNNNNNNNNNNNNNNNNNNNNNNNAAAUAAUCAAAGAAUAAGGUGAAAAGGCAAAACAUUCAACAUUAACUAUUCUUCUAAACAUAAAGAUAAUAACUUUACAUACUAAAAACAAAGGUAUCCAACAACAAUGAGUUUAAAAAAAGCAUAAAUACAUCUUUUAAGCAAAGAUUGAAACUUUAUCUAAAAUAAUCAAAGAAUAAUGUCAAAAAAGGCACAUACAACUAUUGCUAGCUCAUUUUUAUAUCAUGAACAUGAAAAUAAUUAGAAUAUCAAUUCCACAACAUCCUAGGGCCUUCAAGGUCAUCUAUAACAUUCAAUCCCAACAAAUAAAAUUAUAUCUAUGAACUACGAAGAAGAAAAAAGAUGAAGAGAAAAACGAUAAUAAAAACUAAAAUAAUAAAAAAAAAAAAAAAAGAGAAAAAAAAGGUGUUUUUACCUUUUGGGGGCAGCAAAACAAAACUACGAGUUUCGUUGGAAUCAACCACCACCGAAAAACAUCGCCGGCAACUCAAAAAUUUUGAUUAGCCGAUCAACAUUAUGAAACAAAAAUUUUUACUAAAUAAAAAUAACUAUUUUUGUUCAAAAGGAUUUUCUUUCCCCUUUCUAGCCUUUUUUUUCUUCCUUCUCCUUCCUCUCUCUACCAAAGUAGUGGUAGUAUUUAUAGGAGAGAAUGGGGUAUUUUUUUUUCCUUUUCCACCAAUGUGGGAGAAAAGUAUUUAUAGAAAAGGAUAGAGAUUUAUUUCUUGUCAUCUAUCAAUGUAGGAGAAAAAGCAUUUAGGGGAGUUUUUGGAAUAUAAAAGUUAAAGAUAAGGUGAGGCGGAAGAUAAUGUGGGGAGAAAUAGUACAAUGUAGUACAAUCUUUGAAUUUCAAAAUUGCAAAAGGAUAAAGUUGGGGGAAAUAGUACAAUUUGACUUUAUUUUUUGGUGGGAAUUGGGUAAAAAUUAUGAGAGUUUUUGAGAAUUUUGGUGUUAUUUAAAAUAUAACCCCAAUUGGAAUUUAAAAUUUAGCCAUAUUUAUUUAUUUUGACCAAAUUAAAAAUUAAUUGACGAAUUACAUUGCAAUUAUGACCAAUUUUUAAUUAUGGUCAAAUCUAAUAGAUUGGCUAAAUUAAAUUAAAAUUCGAUAAGAAUUAAUACCUUUUUUUUAAUCCCGAGCUUCUUGAUUUAAUAAAAUGAAUGCAUAUUUAUCCAAAUAAAUUAUUUUUGAGAAUAAAUUAUAUUUAAAUUAAGAUUUUAAUCAUUUGAAUUUAUUUUCAAGAUAAGCCUUAAUUAAAUCCAAUAUUUUGUAAAAUAAAUAUUUAAGUAACAAAUUAUAUAAUCUCUUAUAACUGAACACGAUAGUAUAUAAUCGCUACUUAAAAUGAUAAAAUCACGUACGAAAAAUAUUUUAAGUUUUUUUCUUUUAUUUGGAUGAAAUAAUUAUUUUGGUUUAUUAAAAACUGAAGAAACUUAAGAUUAAAUUUAGUCGUAGAGAUCAAAAAUUAGGUGUCAACAAUGUCCAAUGGAGUCAUCGCCUUCCUAGUUAACCACCUCUUUUUCCCCUAGAUUAGGCUUCUUUGAUUCUCGAACUCUUUGACUCUUCUGUUGACUGCUCUAAGGCUACCAUUAUUUUGCUUCUUGACAUGACAUGACAAUGGCAGGUUUUAAGUUACUGUUAUACAACGGGCGAUGAGUCAUGAGUGGAGUGGAGGUCCAAUUCAAUAAUGUUUCCUCCAAUUAAUCUUCCAUGAUUCCUAUUGUCUUGAAAAAUUCUUCCCUCACAUUUUUCCUUAUUCCAUCCUCAAAACUAUCGCUUACAGCUUUGAAAAAUGAUUGGUAGAAUCUAGUUUUACUACUAGUCAUUUUUCUUUUCCUGUAACAAAGCUAUAGUCAAGAAGCGAAUCUCUCAUUCAUUUUUAUCUGGUGAAGUAGGGUCAUUUUGUGCCAACACAGAGUAGUUUAUAUUACCUGCAAAGUAAAAAUAACUCAAACGAUGACGUGUUAGAUUCUGUUAGUAAUAAGUAAAGCAAAAUGAUAACGUAGGAAGUAAACACAUAGAGUUGUUUCUCAUCUCAUGCGAAUUGAUCCAUGAAAUAAUAAUGACUCGAGGAGUUCAAUGAACAAGAUUUUGCUCAAUGAUAUGAAUAGGUGGAAUUUGUCGAGAAGGUUCAACUCUUCUUCUUCCUUCAAGAAAGUGGAGGACAACAGAGCUUUUGGAGAUAUGGGUCGGGCUGAAAGACUGCCUACGUAUCUCGCAGAUGAGAAAUCAGGCCCUACGCAGUUCAAAACUAGAACAGUUUUUUUUAUUCUAAAGUCAACUUUCCUAAAAUGGUAGCGAUCAUUUUGAAAGUUUUAAGAAUGACUACGGACUUUUCUAAGAAAUUUAGGAGACUUGGAGUACUUUUAGUCAGACUUUUGUAUAGUAAGGUAUAUUUCUGCCUAGAGAUAUUCUAUGGAAAAUGGGAUUAGAUUAGUUCACCUUUGAUUCGAAUAAACAUAACACGUAUAAGCAUAUAAAUAGUUAUAUUACACAAGCAUAUUGUAAUAAUCGUGCAUCCUAAUUAGGUGACCCUUUUGAGCCAAGGAUUUGGGCCUAACAAAUUUUGAAGAAAAAAUAUAUGUUUGCUUAAGGUCAAUCCAUUAUCCCCAAACUUUUAUAGACACUAAAAGGGCAUAAAUGCCUACAAAAGAUGACGAAAGAGGGAAACAAUCUUUAGGGAAAGGGAAAUAACAUGAAAAAAGAUACGUUCCCACACGGGAUAAAAAAUACUAAUUCCUGAGUGCUACUUCUAUCAGUCUUCCCCUUCUUAGCUUCAUCCAUUUCUUAUAUUGGUGACAUACAUUGAUGUUCAAACUGUACCUUAAAUGCAACCUCCCAAAUAGUUCAAUUUUUUGCUUAACUUGCUUCAAUUCUUCUUACAAAAGUAAGCAAAUCAAGUUAUUUCCCAACUCCCAAAAGAUAAUGGGCUGAAAUAGACAAGCAUACAUUUUCUUCUACACAUAAAUAUGGUUCGUCUAUAAUUGACUCGGAGUCAAUAGACGCAGGGCAGGUUUUCUAAUGGGCCCAAUACCUCGCUUGGGUAUUGGAUCAUCUGUAACAACCCGUAUUCAAGUAAUAUAUUGGCGUAUUCAAGUACGUGUAUUGGUCUUAUUUAUAUGAAAUUAAUUUUAUUUUAUUUUAUUUAUACCGGAAUUUGCCCGUCGAUGGUUCCAUACGAAGGUUAUUGAAUAAGCUUUCCAACGAUAUAAAGAUUUCCAAAAACGAAUAGGUUUCGGAUAUAAUCGAGCACGUUCGAAACUAUAAAACGGUGGCCGGGAUAUUGGGAAUAGUAAAUGUGCAGGAAAAUUUCCUGCACACAAACUACUGAGGUCAGCCAUUUUUUUGGGUCAACUUUGAACGAUCAUAACUACCUUAAUAUAAUGAACUGGGAGAGCUUCCACCUAUGAAAAGAAAGAUCUUUGAGUCUUCUUUCCAAUGCAAUUGGUUUCAUCCAAAUCCGACAUCUGAGUAAUGAGUUAUACUCGUUUUACUUCAGCCUCUCAAAACAGAUUUUUAAGAUCAACUUCAAACAAUCAUAACUCCUUGUACAGGACGAACUGGGUGGCCUAAUUUAUAUGAAAUGAAAUCCCUUUGAAUUAUCUUUCCAACGAUACCAAUUUCACCCAAAUAUGAUAUCGGAGGAAAGAGUUAUGGUCGAUUUACUUUAGCCUAUCAAAACAGUCCACCAUGGACAGAUUCGGAUUUACUUAAAUUUUAAGGGCAAUAUGGUCAUUUUCCAUCACCUCAUGGACGAAAAUUGGUCAUUAUAUACAUAUACUUAGCCUCAUAUCCAUCAUUUAUCAUCCAAAUUAUUGAAGAAUAAGAAACCCUAGCCUAAGUUCAACUCCAAUUAUCUUGUGAUUCAACCGUAGAAAAUCCAAAUUGAUUCCGUAGUUGUGUUCACCGUCUCGAGGGCUUCGAGAAGCACCCCUUAUUUGUGCCAACAGGACUUCGAAAUCAAAAGGGCCAUUUUAUAGUAAGGAUGUCAAUUAUGUUGGUGUUAUUUAUAUGGAUAUGUAUAUAUAUAUAUAUAUGCAUGUGCGCAUAAGAAGUAUGUUAUUUGAUUGUUGUUGAAAGAUGAUUGAAAAUGAUGUUGGAUUAUUCUUGUGCAUAGUUGGAUUAUGUUGAAUUGUGAAGGAAUUUGGUGUGAUGAUAUGGUAUUGAAAUGAUGAUUAUAUAUAUAUAUAUACACCUAAACCGAUUGUUCAAGUUAAUUUUUGAAAUGCUUUGCAAAUAUUGAUUGUAUGGAAUUAUGGAAGAGAAUUGUGGUGUUGGGUUGCUAAUACUAGAUGCCAAACAUUUCAUUGUAGAUAAGUGAUUUAUAAAGGCGGGAAGUUGUGUUGAAUUAGUAUCCGAAUCUACAACGAGGUAUGUAAAGCAUACUCUAACGAUGUUCUUUGGCAUGAAAACACCAAUGUUCCAUCAAGUAAGAUUCCGAGGUUGUCCAAAAACAUGUAUUGUUCUACAUUACCAACGAAGUUGUUUCCAUUCUAUAAAGUGUCAAAAUGUUUCAUUGAUAUACCGAAAGGCUCCUAUUUCAUUGUUGUGAUAUUGAUGAUUCCGAAACACAUUGUUGAUGUACCAAUGAGUCUUUAUUACAUCGUUAUUGUAUAGAAAGUCUAUUACUUGGUUCCUAUUGAUGUAUCAUUAUUCCAAAGGUACUAUAUUGGCAUGAACACUAAUGUAAUAAUCUCAAAAGCUUUUGAACUAAGUUAUUGGAAAGAUCUCUUAUGUGUGUUACUUGAUAUACGUGUGGGUGGUAGCUCAGGGGCUUAAGCCUAGCAUGGGCCGAUCCCGAUAUUUGAUAUGAUUACAGUUGAUAUGUACUGGGGGCAGCCUAAUGGUCACAGUACGGUACAGUAUUGAUUAUUGUUAGGUGGUUGGAGGUUCGGGAGGAGGAGGUAAUGGCGAAUGAUAAUUGUAAAGAAUGAAAUGAACGAAUGUAUACCGUUCCACAAAUGUGUUUGAAUUCAAGAACCCAAUUCAGAUUAAUGAUAAGAUAAUGUACAUGAUCCUAAAAGUGUUUAUGAAGUGUGGUUCACUUCUAUUAUGAUUUAUUCACUUGCGUCUGAUUUUCUUGAUCCCCCAUACCACAUAUGAUUAUUUACAGCUUUACAUACUCAGUACAUAUUUCGUACUGACGUCCCUCACGGGGGACCUGCAUUUCAUGCUGCAGGCACAGGUGCUUCAGCUCAUUCACAGCAUAGAUAGGAGCCAGGUCAUACAUCUAUUGUUGGUGAGCUCCAAUUUGCUUCGGAGCUUUCCGAGUCGGUCCCUUAUGUUUUCUUAUUGUACAGGAGUCAUGUGUCGGCGAGGGUUUGUCCCGACCCUAAUUAUGUCAUGUAUAUCCUAGAGGCUUUGUAGACAUAAGAAAGGGUAAAGUCAUGGAAGUUCAUAUAGUGAUGUUAUAUUUUUAUAUGUGGUGGCCCCGACGGCCAAGUAUUAUAUACAUAUAUAUUUGUGCGUGUUGUGCUGAUACAGGUAAUUAGACCCUUCUAUAUGCAACGAAGUGCUGGCCAAAUUUUUGGUGACAUGAAAGUGAAAGUACAGGUAUUUAAACGGGUUCUCCCGGGCCUUCUCGGCUUCGGGUGCCAGUCCGGCCCNNNNNNNNNNNNNNNNNNNNNNNNNNNNNNNNNNNNNNNNNNNNNNNNNNNNNNNNNNNNUUGUGUGUGUUGUGCUGAUACAGGUAAUUAGACUCUUCUAUAUGCAACGAAGUGCUGUCCAAAUUUUUAGUGACAUGUAAGUGAAGGUACAGGUAUUUGAACGGAUUCUUCCGGGCCUUCUCGGCUUCGGGUGCCAGUCCGGCCCGAUAGGAUUUUGGGGCGUGACAUCAUCCUAGGCUUAUGCCUAAUAUAGGACUUUGGUUUCAUUCUAUCCUAAAUGUCUAGAGUAGGUUUGAACAUUGGUUCUCAAGCGGACAACUUGAGUUUGAAAAUACGAACAGCCAUUAGACGACUCAUGUGCUAAUAAGCCGUUCGCAUUUCCAACACAUUUUGAAAUUGAACAACGGGGGCCAGGACAUCCACGAAACCCCAAAACAGUUUAAAUAAUGCAGGAAUAUGCCAUGAGAUGCGAUAGUUAAACUUUACAGAAUCGAAACAUAUAAACACAUAAACAGUUAAUCAAAAGACGAAAUCAAACAUUUGGUUAGAACCUAGUUACAAAUCCCUAGCAGAGUCGUCAUUUCUGUUUUGUUGAGAAAUUUAGACUUUUUGAGAAGAGUCGCCACUUAAUUUUGAAGAAAAAUUAAAAAAACCUUUAUAGAAUUACUUCAAAUGAUUCAAAACAGAAAAAUCAUUUUAAAUUAGAAAUUCUAGAUAAGCGGCUCCUAUUAACGUUUUAAGAAGAUGUUAGGCAACUAAAAUGUCCGCAAACUUGCAGUUAUUCGGACUAUUUGAAAACAUCUUUUGAUUAACUUCCGAAAAGAUUAAUUUGUUGAAAUAGUGAUUUGAUUUAAAAAAAAAAGAUUUGUGUAAAAUAGAUUUAGGCGACUUAAUAGAGAUUUUAACUAAGUCUAAACAAAACUAAUAAACAAAUAAACACAUAAAAGGGGAAGUGAGGAGAAAGUAAAGGAUUUAGGCCAUUGAGCCCAAAUCAACUAGACCUAUCCUAGUCUAGUUGAGAUUCCGACCCAUUUCACCUGUCCUAAACUAUUUUUCGAGCCUUUGGCUCGAGUCUUGCUCCACCUAUAUUAAAUACAACUUUGGCUUCGAGACCGAAAUAAAUGAAUAAAUAAAUGACUAAAUGAAUGAAUAAAAAGAAGACUAAUAAAAAUUGAGACUUUUCAAGUCUCUUAAUGACCUUGUCAAUGGAUUUUGACCCAUUUUCCUUCUUCGUCUAUCUUCUAGCACCCGCAUGCCAUGUACUGAACCUCGGGUUUAAACUUCGAACUUGACUCGAAGGGGUAGACCUCAUUGGCCCAUUACGGAAAUGCAAAAUGAGAGGAAUCCAUUUGGACUCGAGACAUUUUUUUUUUGCAUGCAAAGAAAAGAUAAAGAAAUUAAUAUACGUUCAAGGCAUAAAAGUGACAUAUUUCAAAGCAAAAGAAAAUAUCAAGAACCAAUUUUGAAUGAUAAGCACACUUGCACAAAAAAAAGAGUCAACAAAUAAAAUGCAAAGCAAAGACACCCACUUACAUGCCUCAUGAUUUAUGUUCAUACAAGAAUGAAUAAAGGUAAAAGAAAGAAGGCCAUAUUCAAUAAAUUAAUGCAAGAAACAAACAACGUAAGCUUGCGAAAGUAAAAGGAUAAGGCAACGAGGAAAAUACUCAUGACUUCUAAAAUUGAACAAACAUAGAUACCAAUCCAUAUAACCAAAGAAAAUAAAGGUUAACUUUUCAAGCAAGAGAAUCUUUAAAUUUCAAUUAAGGUGACAUUAACGAAAAUUCAUACAUCUAAAUUCUUUUAUAUUAUGAAUCAAUGAGAGACACGAAUCAAGUCUUUACACUCACAAAGAGCACAUAUGAUAAUCCAAAGGGCGCAAGAAAAUUAGAAUAAAAUUUAGCAUUUCUAAAAGUGAAAUAUUGUUUCACAAUCAUAAAAUGCAUGACUCAAAAAUAUCUAAAUAAUUCUAUUUAGCCACAAAAAUUUGAACUUUCUCAUCAUNNN